rnacentral:misc_RNA from 1 species
CUGGGGUCCAAAUGUUACUAUCUCAAAUAAUAAUCGCUAUAAUCCUAGGUAUCAAAGUUACUGAUCAUUCAGACAACCUUAGCCAUGGUUGGGGAAUCUUCGUAGUAGUUCUGAUCUGUACAUAUGUAUCGGCUUUCGCGUGGUCGUGGGGCCCACUUGGAUGGUUAAUUCCUAGCGAGACGUUCCCUUUGGAAACUCGUUCAGCUGGUCAAAGUGUAACAGUGUGUGUUAACUUGCUUUUCACGUUUGUUAUGGCACAAGCAUUUCUCUCAAUGCUUUGUCAUUUCAAGUAUGGGAUAUUCUUGUUCUUCUCGGGGUGGAUUUUUGUGAUGUCGUUGUUCGUUUUCUUCUUGUUGCCUGAGACGAAGAAUGUUCCUAUUGAGGAG